UAUAACUAAACAUUGUAAAAAAAACAAGAAUAGAAUUAAGCAUAAAAUAAGCAUAUAUUUAGAGAAGUUGUUGUUGUAAUGCAAUGAACCCAAUCUAUUGAAUAACCACUUAAGUAAUCCUAUCCAUUUAAUCUUUACUAUCUACUAAUGGAGCCUCCGUUGUUACUAAUUUAUGUCUAUUUUUAUGUGUUUCAAAUUGUUCAUUACUCAGAACCUUUGAAAAUCCAUCAGCAUAUUGAAGCACAGAAGGAAUGUGUUCCAGUUUCACUGCACCCUUAGCUAUUAGGUCCUUUAUAUAAUGAUAGAAAAUAUCUAUGUGUCUUAGUCUAGGUGUAGUUGUAGGAUUUUCAGCUAUAGUUGGAGAUUCAUCAAACCUAAUAAUAUCCAACUCUCUAAACAAAUUACACAAGUUUUUAACAUCUGAGAAGACUGCAGAAAGAGCUCUAUAUUCUGAUUCACAACUAGAUUUUGAAACCUCAUUUUGCUUUUUUGCUGACCACCCAACCAAAUUUCCUCCAAACCAAAGAUUGAUCCCAGUUAUUGACUUCCUAGUCCCUGGAUCUCCACCCCAAUCAGAAUCACAGUAUCCUAUGAUAGUUUGUGAUUCAUUCAUAGAGGGUGUGAAUCUUAGUCCCAAAUUUUGAGUUCCCAUAAGAUACCUAAAUACCCUUUUUGCAACUUGUAAAUGUAGAUCAGUAGGUUGAUGAAGAAACUGACUUAAUAGGUUUACAUAAAAGGAUAUAUCAGGUCUAGUUAGAUUAAGGUAUUGUAAUGACCCAAUCAUGCUUCUGAAUUGAGUUAUAUCUUCUAAUACCUCACCAUCUUUCAAGGUUAAUUUAGGAGUUAACCUCAUUGGAGUUUUGGAUGGGGAAGAUUCUCCUAAUCCAUAUUUAAUCAGUAAUUCACUGAUGUAUUU
rnacentral:lncRNA from 1 species